AACUCUCAACCCCCUCGUUUUGUAAUGAAGCGAGCGCGGGCUUGGAUUGUGGUCGCUGCCGGUCUUCAAUUGAUCAGCUCGACUGAAAUACAUGAGCGUACCUAUAAUUGGUAGCGGUAGCUUAUCCUGGCGUGAUAGUAUUAUUCGCCUAGAUUGCUUACAUGCAUUACUCCAAGUAUAGCGGCGCUAUAUAAUGCCGGACGGCUUUCAUGAGCCAACCGAUUUCACCU
rnacentral:misc_RNA from 1 species